AUUGAACGUUGGCGGCAGGCCUAACACAUGCAAGUCGAGCGGAUGAAGGGAGCUUGCUCCUGCAUUCAGCGGCGGACGGGUGAGUAAUGCCUAGGAAUCUGCCUGGUAGUGGGGGAUAACGUCCGGAAACGGGCGCUAAUACCGCAUACGUCCUGAGGGAGAAAGUGGGGGAUCUUCGGACCUCACGCUAUCAGAUGAGCCUAGGUCGGAUUAGCUAGUUGGUGGGGUAAAGGCCUACCAAGGCGACGAUCCGUAACUGGUCUGAGAGGAUGAUCAGUCACACUGGAACUGAGACACGGUCCAGACUCCUACGGGAGGCAGCAGUGGGGAAUAUUGGACAAUGGGCGAAAGCCUGAUCCAGCCAUGCCGCGUGUGUGAAGAAGGUCUUCGGAUUGUAAAGCACUUUAAGUUGGGAGGAAGGGCAGUAAGUUAAUACCUUGCUGUUUUGACGUUACCAACAGAAUAAGCACCGGCUAACUUCGUG
rnacentral:rRNA from 1 species